rnacentral:rRNA from 1 species
AUUGAACGCUGGCGGCAGGCUUAACACAUGCAAGUCGAACGAGUGGCGGACGGGUGAGUAAUGCCUGGGAAACUGCCCGAUGGAGGGGGAUAACUACUGGAAACGGUAGCUAAUACCGCAUACCAUCGGAUGUGCCCAGAUGGGAUUAGCUAGUAGGUGGGGUAACGGCUCACCUAGGCGACGAUCCCUAGCUGGUCUGAGAGGAUGACCAGCCACACUGGAACUGAGACACGGCCCAGACUCCUACGGGAGGCAGCAGUGGGGAAUAUUGCGCAAUGGGCGCAACCCUGAUGCAGCCAUGCCGCGUGUAUGAAGAAGGCCUUCGGGUUGUAAAGUACUUUCGGCGAGGAGGCGUUACUCGCAGAAGAAGCACCGGCUAACUCCGUGCCAGCAGCCGCGGUAAUAC